GCCUGAUUGUGACAUAAAAUAAAAGCUAAUUUAAAAAUUGAAUGUAUGUACACAGAGAAUUUGUAAAUUAGAAUACGGAAGCAGAAAGAAUUUUGAUCAUUCUUCAGUGUUGAAAAAAACAAGGAACUAAAACAAGCUUUUAGUUCUCCAUUUAAAGAGGACGCUGCAAGCGAGGAUUUGGGAAUAUUCCAUACAUGGUUCAUCAAAUCAAAGAUUUUGUUGAGAAUCUGAGAUUAAAGUAAACUUUUUUUUUGGUUUGUUUCUGCAGGACAAUUAUAACUUCAGAAUCCAUAUAAUGUUCGCCCAAAUAAAAAAUAAUAUACAAGAAAUCGAUCCAAACCGAACCAUGAACCCCCCCUACAAAAGGAUUCGUCAAUACUGAAUCAGUGGAAAUGAGCCGGCUUACCUUUAUGGUGACAUAUAUGAGAACUGGAAGAAAAUCAUCUGCUCCUGGAGGGUUAUCCUUUGAU